rnacentral:rRNA from 1 species
AACACAUGCAAGUCGAGCGGAUGAAGGUAGCUUGCUACUGGAUUCAGCGGCGGACGGGUGAGUAAUGCUUAGGAAUCUGCCUAUUAGUGGGGGACAACGUUCCGAAAGGAGCGCUAAUACCGCAUACGUCCUACGGGAGAAAGCAGGGGACCUUUGGGCCUUGCGCUAAUAGAUGAGCCUAAGUCGGAUUAGCUAGUUGGUAGGGUAAAGGCCUACCAAGGCGACGAUCUGUAGCGGGUCUGAGAGGAUGAUCCGCCACACUGGGACUGAGACACGGCCCAGACUCCUACGGGAGGCAGCAGUGGGGAAUAUUGGACAAUGGGGGGAACCCUGAUCCAGCCAUGCCGCGUGUGUGAAGAAGGCCUUUUGGUUGUAAAGCACUUUAAGCGAGGAGGAGGCUACCUAGAUUAAUACUUUAGGAUAGUGGACGUUACUCGCAGAAUAAGCACCGGCUAACUCUGUGCCAGCAGCCGCGGUAAUACAGAGGGUGCGAGCGUUAAUCGGAUUUACUGGGCGUAAAGCGUGCGUAGGCGGCCAAUUAAGUCAAAUGUGAAAUCCCCGAGCUUAACUUGGGAAUUGCAUUCGAUACUGGUUGGCUAGAGUAUGGGAGAGGAUGGUAGAAUUCCAGGUGUAGCGGUGAAAUGCGUAGAGAUCUGGAGGAAUACCGAUGGCGAAGGCAGCCAUCUGGCCUAAUACUGACGCUGAGGUACGAAAGCAUGGGGAGCAAACAGGAUUAGAUACCCUGGUAGUCCAUGCCGUAAACGAUGUCUACUAGCCGUUGGGGCCCUUGAGGCUUUAGUGGCGCAGCUAACGCGAUAAGUAGACCGCCUGGGGAGUACGGUCGCAAGACUAAAACUCAAAUGAAUUGACGGGGGCCCGCACAAGCGGUGGAGCAUGUGGUUUAAUUCGAUGCAACGCGAAGAACCUUACCUGGCCUUGACAUACAGAGAACUUUCC